UCCAAAUGGUAAUUGGUGGCGGUUGGUAGAAGGAGCCAUAUGUGAUGCUGCCAUAUGUGUGAGGGGCUGGCAACAAGGUGCAGAGCCAAGACCAUGGCCCGGUUCCCUGAGGCUCGCCUGCUGGAUGUGGGCUCACAGCCAGGUCAGGAUGCCUUCAGGUGAGGACAGCAGGUGGUGGCUUGCGCCCUGCUGAGCCGGCCUAGGAGAGUGGCAACCACAAUCACCAUGCCCAAGCCUCCAGCCUGGGGCACCUGGAAGAUCUGGAGGCUUUGGCCGCGGUUAGGUCACGGUGGGCCUGGGGGCCUCAGAAGCAGCCCUGGGCCUCCGCAGAGCCCUGAGGGGGACUGACGGGCCUGGGCGCAGCCCGGAGCUCCACACCAGGCGCCUCCGCGUGUCGCACUUCUGCGUGUUGCCUGCACCAGGGAGUGGGCACACGUGUCCUUCCCACCCCGCCAUUCGACCGCGCCCGAGCCCGGCCUCAGGGCACGCGGAGCUCGUGGGGCCCAGAGGUGAUUCUGCCUGCACGAUGUCCUCCUUGCUGGAGGCGAGCUCUUCGCAGGCGCCACGUCGCAAACAAAAAGAGAGAGAAAAAAAGAAAAGAAAAAGCAGAAGAAGAGACCAGGGAAGCCGGCCUUAGCGGCCUUGGGGUCACCUCGGCCACGGGAGGGCGCGCUAAGACAGCGGCGGUGUUUCCAACGGAGACUGCAGCCUCUCAGUGUCCAGGAACGAAGCCCAGGCCAGGGGACCUCGAGGCGUGGAGCUCGCGCUGACCCUAGCCCGACCUCCGGUCUGGUCCCCAGGGACAGCAAGCAGCAGGCAGGGGCGGGCUGCACCGCCAGAGCAACAGAAUCAAGGUCUGAAAUUCUCCAGCAGAAACUCGAACAUGACACAGUCCAGGACAAGAUCUCCCUUGGAGAGAAGUGCUACAGGAGGAGGACUAAUUGUGCACAGCAAAUGCACCACUAUUGCAUCUCAUCUGUACUGUCCAUAGCAAUUGUGGACUGCAUUUUCCUCCUUUAGUUUGAUUUCUUUGGAUUGAAUACGCUGUAUUUUCACCUUGCCUCUCUCCAGCAAGUGUACACUUUUCGAGGGACUCAGAGAAGUGCUGAUACACAUCAAUCAAGAGCUGCUGGUCAUCCAGAAAGACUGUGCACGUGUAAAUUUGUACUUGUCCUGAUGGGUCAUCCAGAAGAGUUUCAUGGAGAUCAGUUCACAAUAUUGGAAAGACUUUGUGACAAAGUCUGUAAUAUCAUUUAUACUCAGUAUUGGUAGGCUUUUUCCUUAAUACCCCCACUCCAACAAAACAGACCUACUUCCACUCCUCUUGAAAAGAUUAUUACCAUCACUAACUGCUUGUCUACUAUGUCUCCAAGGCAAGCCACAGGCUAUAAGUCUAUUCUGCAAAAGGAGCAGCAAAAAAUGCUUAGUGCAAUUCCUCUAUUUAAAGUUUGGUUAAUUUUUAAUUGUUUUGGUUAUUUGGUUUUCCUUCUAUUCAUUUGAAGAUUUGUUAUUUAUGUGUUGUUGUUGUUUUGUUCAUUUGCUUUUCUAUUUUGAUAAGGAUAUAGACUGUAUAUAUUGACUACCUGCAUCUGGUUACUAUCAAGUAAAUUGGAUGUAUUCUGGUCAAUAAAGGAGUAAUCUCAAACUCUU
rnacentral:sRNA from 1 species